UUUUCGUUGACAUUCUUCCCCUAUUUGUCCGGCAGUGUGCCCCCUCUUCUUUUUACAUUUCCUCCCUCAAGAUUUUUGCCCCCCCCCCCCCCCAGUUUUGUUGUCUUUGAGAGAGGAAGAGACAAGCGCAGAAAAAGGUAGAUAGUUGUUGAGUAUACUAUUUUUUGUUUACGGCUAGUUUUUCUUUAGCCACACUUUAAAAUUGGCUCAU
ensembl:ncRNA C52B9.15 ncRNA